AACCUUCCCUCCCUCUGAACGAAAAAUCAUCUACUCUGACUGAUCUUCUUCCUGCCGGCGGUGACCCCGCCGCCGAUCUAAUCGCCGGAAGAUUCAGCUUUUGUUUCCUCCUUGUAACCUCUUCCUCAUCAUUGCUACUACUUUCUUAGUCAUCUAGCGGCCUCCAACCUACACACUCAACAUUUUUCUCUAUGCCACCGAAGACAGAGGCACGACCAUUUAGGCUUUUGGAAAAGAACUAAAUUUGUUAGCAUUGAUGGAGCAAAAUGCUUUUUAUUCAUUGUGUCCUACUUGCUUGAUUUUUCACAAGAACUAUCAUAUUUAUGUACAACUCUUCAUUCACGGUAAUUUAUGCGCCCUGAUUGAUAAUCAUAUAUGCAUGUUAUUAAAAUAAGAUGUUUAAUUCAGUUUGUACAUAUUUAUAAUUCCUUGGCACACCAUCUGUUUGAUAUAAUUUCUGAGUUAAAGUAUUUUUCUUUUUAUCU